rnacentral:tRNA from 1 species
GCCUGGGUGGCUCAGUGGGUUAAGCGGCUGACUUCAGCUCAGGUCAUGAUCACACAGCUUGUGGGUUCAAGCCCUGCACCCGGCU